ACUAGAAAGCUCCUGUGAAAUUUCUGAUAAUCUUCCGCUAGAAAACUCGUUCACAAACAAAAAAAAACCUAAACAAAAUUCUUAUAGUAAUAAUUAGAAAAGAAUAGAAAAUAAUUUGAUUUUUCUUCCCCGUAAAAGGACGUCACUAUUGUCUCGAUCUAAUUAACGGGCAACGGGCAACUUAGAACAUAAAUCGUGACGUUUA